rnacentral:rRNA from 1 species
UACGGGGGGUGCGAGCGUUGUCCGGAAUCACUGGGCGUAAAGGGCGCGUAGGUGGCGUCGUAAGUCUGUGGUGAAAGCCCGGAGCUCAACUCCGGGCCUGCAGUCGAUACGGGCGGACUUGAGUACUGCAGGGGAGACUGGAAUUCCUGGUGUAGCGGUGAAAUGCGCAGAUAUCAGGAGGAACACCGGUGGCGAAGGCGGGUCUCUGGGCAGUAACUGACGCUGAGGAGCGAAAGCGUGGGGAGCGAACAGG